CCUACGGGUGGCAGCAGUGGGGAAUAUUGCACAAUGGGGGAAACCCUGAUGCAGCGACGCCGCGUGAGUGAAGAAGUAUUUCGGUAUGUAAAGCUCUAUCAGCCGGGAAGAAAUAGCGACCUUGGGGUCGCCAGACGGUACCUGACUAAGAAGCCCCGGCUAACUACGUGCCAGCAGCCGCGGUAAUACGUAGGGGGCAAGCGUUAUCCGGAUUUACUGGGUGUAAAGGGAGCAUAGACGGCAGCACAAGUCUGAAGUGAAAUGCCGGGGCUUAACCCCGGAACUGCCUUGGAAACUGGGCAGCGAGAGUGCAGGAGAGGUAAGUGGAACUCCUAGUGUAGCGGUGAAAUGCGUAGAUAUUAGGAGGAACACCAGUGGCGAAGGCGGCUUACUGGACUGUAACUGACGUUGAGGCUCGAAAGCGUGGGGAGCAAACAGGAUUAGAUACCCGUGUAGUC
rnacentral:rRNA from 1 species